rnacentral:rRNA from 1 species
AGCGAACGCUGGCGGCAGGCCUAACACAUGCAAGUCGAACGAACCUUUCGGGGUUAGUGGCGGACGGGUGAGUAACACGUGGGAACGUGCCUUUAGGUUCGGAAUAACUCAGGGAAACUUGUGCUAAUACCGAAUGUGCCCUUCGGGGGAAAGAUUAAUCGCCUUUAGAGCGGCCCGCGUCUGAUUAGCUAGUUGGUUGAGGUAAUGGCUCACCAAGGCGACGAUCAGUAGCUGGUCUGAGAGGAUGAUCAGCCACAUUGGGACUGAGACACGGCCCAAACUCCUACGGGAGGCAGCAGUGGGGAAUCUUGCGCAAUGGGCGAAAGCCUGACGCAGCCAUGCCGCGUGAAUGAUGAAGGUCUUAGGAUUGUAAAAUUCUUUCACCGGGGACGAUAAUGACGGUACCCGAAGAAGAAGCCCCGGCUAACUUCGUG